GCAACAUUGCCCUCUGUUCCUGUCUUUCUGAUCUGGGCACACAGCAUACUCCCCACAGCAGCUACAAGAAAGCAGAGUAACAUCUACUCUAUUUCUCAUGACACGUAUGUCGAUCUCAACCCAGGGUCCAGAUCCUGCAAUGAUGUCUACCACACACUUGAACAUGUUGAAGCUGAUGCUAUGGAUGUCAUAUGUACAACUCUUGAUCCCACAGCCAGGGCCUCUGGUGAUAUCUACCACACACUUGAAAGAACUGAGCUCUUAAGCAGGUGUGGACACCACUGAAACACAGCAUAGCUAUGCAGCACAGAAUUAAAGUGCCACCCCCAAAGCAGCACCUGUCUCUAAACUAUGCCUUCUGGACAUCCUGUGACCUGUUUCUACUGUGCUCACAAAACAUUUCAUGCAUUGCUGCAAAGCCUCCCAACUGUUUUAUAGUGUGCUGUUGUUCACUUUACUCCAGUAAACAGUGUUAAAUUGGGUCAAGGCUCCCAUGUUUUCAGAGUCAUGGUGAUUUUGUGUUUCUGUGGGUAUGUGUGUGUGUUUAGACUGAGCCCAGAUCAUUUCAAAGUUAACCAGAUUUAAC